rnacentral:rRNA from 1 species
AUACGGGGGGUGCAAGCGUUACUCGGAAUUACUGGGCGUAAAGCGCGCGCAGGCGGCUUGAUAAGUUGGAUGUGAAAGCCUACGGCUCAACCGUAGAACUGCAUCCAAAACUGUCAGGCUAGAGUGUGGGAGAGGAAGAUGGAAUUAGUUGUGUAGGGGUAAAAUCCGUAGAGAUAACUAGGAAUACCAAAAGCGAAGGCAAUCUUCUGGAACACUACUGACGCUGAGGCGCGAAGGCGUGGGGAGCAAACAGGAUUAGAAACCCCGGUAGUCC